GGGCUACACACGUGCUACAAUGGUCGGUACAAAGGGUUGCCAAGCCGCGAGGUGGAGCUAAUCCCAUAAAACCGUAUCGUAGUCCGGAUCGCAGUCUGCAACUCGACUGCGUGAAGUCGGAAUCGCUAGUAAUCGUGAAUCAGAAUGUCACGGUGAAUACGUUCCCGGGCCUUGUACACACCGCCCGUCACACCAUGGGAGUGGGUUGCUCCAGAAGUAGCUAGUCUAACCGCAAGGGGGACGGUUACCACGGAGUGAUUCAUGACUGGGGUGAAGUCGUAACAAGGUAGCCGUAUGGGGAACCUGCGGUUGGAUCACCUCC
rnacentral:rRNA from 1 species